rnacentral:tRNA from 1 species
AAGCCCGGCACCCGUUCUGGGUGUCUGCCAGAUUUGCACUCUGG